rnacentral:rRNA from 1 species
CAACCUUAAACGGGAGGCAGCAGUGAGGAAUAUUGGUCAAUGGCCGAGAGGCUGAACCAGCCAAGUCGCGUGAAGGAAGAAGGAUUAUGGUUUGUAAACUUCUUUUAUAGGGGAAUAAGUGGAGGACGUGUCCUUUUUUGUAUGUACCCUAUGAAUAAGCAUCGGCUAACUCCGUGCCAGCAGCCGCGGUAAUACGGAGGAUGCGAGCGUUAUCCGGAUUUAUUGGGUUUAAAGGGUGCGUAGGUGGUGAUUUAAGUCAGCGGUGAAAGUUUGUGGCUCAACCAUAAAAUUGCCGUUGAAACUGGGUUACUUGAGUGUGUUUGAGGUAGGCGGAAUGCGUGGUGUAGCGGUGAAAUGCAUAGAUAUCACGCAGAACUCCGAUUGCGAAGGCAGCUUA